rnacentral:rRNA from 1 species
UACGAAGGGGGCUAGCGUUGCUCGGAAUUACUGGGCGUAAAGCGCACGUAGGCGGCCAUUCAAGUCAGAGGUGAAAGCCCAGGGCUUAACCCUGGAAUUGCCUUUGAUACUGUUUGGCUUGAGACCGGAAGAGGUAAGUGGAACUGCGAGUGUAGAGGUGAAAUUCGUAGAUAUUCGCAAGAACACCAGUGGCGAAGGCGGCUUACUGGUCCGGUUCUGACGCUGAGGCGCGAAAGCGUGGGGAGCAAACAGG